UAUUCUAUCUGGUUCAUCUUUACCUAUCAUGUGGUUUCUAAAUCAGUAUGUUAUUCAUGAAGUAGGGAUCAUUGAUUCUUUUAGUUGCUGGAGUUGCCCUCUCCUAUGCUGCAGCUUGGAAAUUGAAUUCUUUUUUCUGACUGACGAGAAAACUCUUCGAGUGCCCUCCAGAUCUUUAACUUGUGAAAUGUAAUCGGAUUAUCCAAGGAUAAUUUUUCUCCAAAAUCCAUUACUUCUUCGGUGACUAUCCAGAUUUAACGCGUUGAAGGGCUUUCCCACUUAACAUCUAUUUAUUGUAGUUCUAAUGUAUGUUAGUUUUCCCUCAAGCAUGGACAUACGUAUAGUUGGCUAUUCUUAAUAUUACAUAUGGAUGAAUAUGCUUUUGUAUAUGUAUUUUGUGGAGGGAAGUGGUGGACUGAGUGAUGGACACUUGUAAAUGGUGACUGCGAAUAGAUUUUACAGUCAUAAAAGUAUAUUAUAGUGUUGCAGUAGAUGUUGGAUAAUCAAAGUCAAUAAUUUGUUGGACUUGAUUGUAAUUUUAUCCAAGCACUAUGGUUGUGAUCUUUUUUCA